AGAGCGAACGCUGGCGGCAGGCCUAAUACAUGCAAGUCGAACGAAGCCUUCGGGCUUAGUGGCGGACGGGUGAGUAACACGUGGGAACGUACCCUUUGGUUCGGAACAACUCAGGGAAACUUGAGCUAAUACCGAAUGUGCCCCCAUCCUUAAAAAAGAUGGGUGGGAAAGAUUUAUCGCCAUUGGAGCGGCCCGCGUCUGAUUAGCUAGUUGGUGAGGUAAAGGCCCACCAAGGCUACGAUCAGUAGCUGGUCUGAGAGGAUGAUCAGCCACACUGGGACUGAGACACGGCCCAGACUCCUACGGGAGGCAGCAGUAGGGAAUCUUGCGCAAUGGGCGAAAGCCUGACGCAGCCAUGCCGCGUGAAUGAUGAAGGUCUUAGGAUUAGUAAAAUUCUUUCAGCGGAGACGAUAAUGACGGUACCCGCAGAAGAACGCCCGGCUAACUUCGUGCCAGCAGCCGC
rnacentral:rRNA from 1 species